GUCCAUGCCGUAACGAUGUCUACUAGCCGUUGGGCCUUUGAGGCUUAGUGGCGCAGCUAACGCGAUAAGUAGACCGCCUGGGAGUACGGUCGCAAGACUAAACUCAAAUGAAUUGACGGGCCCGCACAAGCGGUGGAGCAUGUGGUUUAAUUCGAAGCAACGCGAAGAACCUUACCAGGCCUUGACAUCCUAUGAACUUUCCAGAGAUGGAUUGGUGCCUUCGGGAGCAUAGAGACAGGUGCUGCAUGGCUGUCGU
rnacentral:rRNA from 1 species